UGGGGAAUAUUGCACAAUGGGCGAAAGCCUGAUGCAGCGACGCCGCGUGAGGGAUGACGGCCUUCGGGUUGUAAACCUCUUUCGACAGGGACGAAGCGUAAGUGACGGUACCUGUAGAAGAAGCACCGGCCAACUACGUGCCAGCAGCCGCGGUAAUACGUAGGGUGCGAGCGUUGUCCGGAAUUACUGGGCGUAAAGAGCUUGUAGGCGGUUUGUCGCGUCGUCUGUGAAAACUCACAGCUCAACUGUGAGCUUGCAGGCGAUACGGGCAGACUUGAGUACUGCAGGGGAGACUGGAAUUCCUGGUGUAGCGGUGAAAUGCGCAGAUAUCAGGAGGAACACCGGUGGCGAAGGCGGGUCUCUGGGCAGUAACUGACGCUGAGAAGCGAAAGCGUGGGUAGCGAACAGGAUUAGAUACCCUGGUAGUCCACGCCGUAACGGUGGGUACUAGGUGUGGGUUUCCUUCCACGGGAUCCGUGCCGUAGCUAACGCAUUAAGUACCCCGCCUGGGGAGUACGGCCGCAAGGCUA
rnacentral:rRNA from 1 species